AACCCGGCAGCCGAGGGCGUGGGGUCCCCGCCCUCGGCCGCCAUUGGCUAUGAGUCCACGCCGCCGCGCCCCCUUGGCCAAUUGACGACAGCUGUGGGCUGGACCGCCCUGGUAGCGACCCGCCCCCAGGUCAGCGACGCGGCUCUCCAUUGGGCGAAGGAGGGUGACGCAAGGCUGCAGGCCACGUGGUAGUGUUUUCAUUGCCAGAGGCUGCGAAGCGGAAGUCCGGAAGAACCAGUGCAAGUGAGGCCCGACCUGGUGGCCACCUUCUGGAAUCUGCGGUGGAGCUGCGGCUGAGGGGGCGGGCGGACGCGCUCCGUCCCACCCCACCCAGACCCCUGUCGCAUGUAGCUCUCCGUCUAUUAAACUUACAGAGGAUUUUGUAGAUCAAAGUUGAAGAAGAGCUGGACAAAAUAACGACUUCCUACCAUCAUAUUCUUUGAGUCUAAGGCAGAGAUACCGUGCCCCGCUAAAAUGUCUUGCGUACCAAGUGGAACACAAUGUCUGGUCCAUGAAAGUGGUGAGAGACUAUAUUGCCAAAUAUUUUUUGAAAAUAUGCUGGAUGCUUCAUAGAAAUGAGGUUCUACGGCACACUACCGGAAAGGAGGCUGGUGCUUGUGCUGAGCCGCCUUCAGCGGCUCCACGUCCCACAUUGCUGAUGAGUGAGAGCCUCUGUUAUAAAUGGAAACGGGAACCGGCAAGUGCUCCCCGGCUAACGCUGAACCCACCGGCUUAUUUUGCUACCUAUUAUGUACGUGAUCUGCGAUUUUGCUUAUUGAUUGCAAAUAUGCACGAGGAAUAGGAAGCUGGCGUGUUUUCCAAAAACGAGACGGAGCGUUUUCGCUGCUGCGGGUCUCAACCGGGUAUGACUUCGACUUUUCACCAUUUCUCUGAGGUCAGAAACAGCCUUUGGUGGGUUUCUAAUUUUUUUUUUUUUUUUAUAUAGAAGUUUGGCUCCCGAGACUGUUUCAGAGCCUUUAGGAAAGAUAUCAAGUGGACGAGACAUGUCCGAAAAUAUUUAAAGUGGCGAUUUCCUAGGCCCUCUUUCUCCACUUUCUCCGUAGGCAUCUGUUCCCAUAUGUGGAGGUUUAAGUCAGCCUCUAUCUACAGAUGACCCUUGUCUGACCUCACUCUCUGGAAUGCUCUGCCUGCCUCUGUCUUUCAUGCCAGAGCACAUCAACACUACCUUCUGUUGGCAUUCCUGAUAGGAUCUCUUUCUCCUGAGCUCUUGAAAGAAUCCUGCUUCAGCAACUCUAGAGAAUGGUGGGAGAGUUGGUCUUUAAAAACAGAUUUAUCCCAUACCAAGGACAGGAAUCACUUAUUUUGCACCACUGUGUGCAUUGACUCUUCUUUUCUCCCAAUCCAUGAAUAUAGUAUAGAUUCUUAGGUCCCCUUGACCCAGGAAUGCAGUUUCCCAUGCCUGCAUAGGCCAAGUCCUUCUGUUCUCAGAGAUUCUAAUUACAUUAGCCUGUGUAUUUUCUUUAAAACGGUUAUCACAACCUAAAAUUACCUUGUUUAUUUGCUUACAUAUUCACUGUCUAUCUCCUCUAUCUGGAAAGUAAACUCCAUGAGAGCA